UGGGGAAUUUUGCACAAUGGGGGAAACCCUGAUGCAGCGACGCCGCGUGAUUUAGAAGGCCUUCGGGUUGUAAAAAUCUUUUCUAUGGGAAGAAAAUGACAGUACCAUACGAAUAAGGACCGGCUAAUUACGUGCCAGCAGCCGCGGUAAUACGUAAGGUCCGAGCGUUGUCCGGAAUCAUUGGGCGUAAAGGGUACGUAGGCGGAUAAGCAAGUUAGAAGUGAAAUCCUAUAGCUCAACUAUAGUAAGCUUUUAAAACUGCUCAUCUUGAGGUAUGGAAGGGAAAGUGGAAUUCCUAGUGUAGCGGUGAAAUGCGCAGAUAUUAGGAGGAAUACCGGUGGCGAAGGCGACUUUCUGGCCAUAAACUGACGCUGAGGUACGAAAGCGUGGGUAGCAAACAGG
rnacentral:rRNA from 1 species